UUUUUCUUUUUCUAGAGAAAGAGAGAGAGAGAGAGAGAAUAUGCAUAAAAGUCACCAGAUUUGACCUAAAGAAAAUGAUAUGCCGUUCACGUAGGCAAAAAAACCCAGCACUUUCCAAAUGUAACGCCGCUUCACUUUAACUUCAUGAAUUUUUUUAAAACGACGAAGCUUAGGCCAAACUUUAUUGCGGAACCGUCUGAAAGCCGCACGGUCAGCAUUUUGUACGACACUUUUGAUUUUUUUUUUUGUAUAUAAAUAUAUAUAAAUAGAUUCGCUUUGCCGAUUGCUUAUAUACAGUAUAGGAAAAUAUACUGUGGAAACAUCAUGGAAUGGAAACAUCGUGUUGCCAAUGUCCCCGACUGAUAGCAGUUCAGUCUCUACAUCCACCGCAGUUUUGUUGUUUAUUUUCCCUCUCUUUACUUUUAAGAAUUGUCUGCACCAAUAUUGAACUUUGUUACUGAUGUUAGAAUAAAAAGGGAGACGUAGACAAAUUUCCCCCGAAGCCUUAAAUGUAAACCGACUAACCUGCUUAGCCACCUUUUUUGGGGCAGCAUUGAAAUAGCAUUUCUCAACACCACCACCACCAGAAACCACUACGUAGGCCCUAUGUUAGCUGCCAACGGAUCAGGAGUAACACGAUGCAUUUUUAUGUAGCCCCAAAAAAAUUAGCUUUAUUCAGACCCACUUUGUAGCUCAAGUAAAACAACGUAAGGCCUCCACUGGUAUACAGAACUAUUGUUUUUAUUAGUAUUAUUUUUUUUUUAUAGUCAGUCAUUACAUCAUCAAGUUGUUUUAACCACAUGGCAAAAAAAAGUGUCAUGAAUUUGUGUGAACUGUAGCUUUUGAGUGACAGAAUUCAAAGCUGUUUUAAACUUGGCACUCGCGUCCAUAUUUUGUGAUUAAAAAAAAAAAUUAACAUCAUUGUCUUCCAGCGCUGAUACAGUGGAAAAUAUAAAACUUUUUUUUUUUUAAUUUCAUCGUCAGCGUCUUAUAACGUCAACAGCAACCUACCUAAAGGAUCUUCUUACAAAUCCAGAAGUUGAAGCAAUCACACAAAAACCAUAUCCGAUGUGCGUCAGUUUCAGAAAAGAAAUGACCAUAUCGCCAAAAAACUUUUUUUUUUUUUCCUUUUUUUACUCCAUAUAAUUUUAAAAAGUAGAUAAGUCAAACUUAGGCCUGCAGUAUCGCAUGUAGAUGCUAUUGCAUGUAUCGUCUGCAGCUGUGUACACUAAUCUUUAGCCAGAGAACUGCUGGUGUAUGCGUCACUUCACGUACGCACUAAUCCUGUACGUCAUUGUGUGUAAAUGACAUCAUUUGAUGACUAGGUAAUAAGGAACUCAACUGUGUAUAUAUAUAUAUAUAUAAAAACAUGGAAGCUAAGGAAAACAAAGUGAAACUCUGCGAGAAUGUACAUCUUUACAAUGACAGUUUUUUAAAAUUUUUUUUUAUUGUCGUUACUUUACCGACUCGGUACCUACAUCUGUUUGCAUACGGUCAACGGGUUACAGUUUAUUACCGAACACUAACCCAUUUUAAUGUAAUUCUUCUUAUUUUUUUUAUCAUGUAUUUUCUGCUGAUCUUUGGGUGCUCUUAAGAAUCUUGGUAGGUUCCUUUGACCUGCAUGUGUAUUUACUGUCGUCACCAGCGGAGACAUCUCUCUGGGUGGGACUAACUCGACGAUGCUAACAGCCUACUGUACGAAUGUGUUGAGGAAAAAAAAAAAAAAAGACUUUAAAAUUUCUACUCUGUUCAGUUGUCACCAUCCGCAUAAAAAAAAAAAAAAACAUACAUGUGCAUUGUUUCAUCUUUAAAGGCAACUAAAUGUAUAUCUGUAGCUAUAUGCAAUAAUGAGAGAUAGCAGAUUUGUAGUUUUAUAUUAUAAUAAACAGUGAUGUUUAAAUAUUCAUUUGAAACACCACUGGGUUCUUGAGCCAUAUCCGUUUCUGUCAUUAUGACGUACUGUGUUUUUUCACAUUGGUUUGUAUUCGGAGUUUACCCACGAACAGUACCAGGCAAAUCUUUCAGUCCACAACAGUUCGAGUUGUAAUCAGUUUUUCUUGUAAUCAGUGGAUGUAGGGAAGAUCAUUUUUAUUGCUAUUACAGCUCUUUUAGUUCCACCUUUUUGAGGCGAAACCACUUCAAGUCAUUUAAAUUCAAUAAUAAACCACUAGAUCAAAUCAUUUGUAAUGACCACUGUGACUAAAACUCCUGAUUCCUCGCAGCCAAUGACAUUAAGACGGCACAUUUACUUGUGAGUAAGUCUGUAAAUAAUUUGAUUCGAAUUUGCAAAAUAGUCGCAGGUUCAUGGUUUAUUACCACAUACUAGGGGUGGAUCAAUCUAAGGAUCGGUAUUGGUCAAAAUUUUAACAUUGAAACGUAGCAAAAAAAAA